rnacentral:lncRNA from 1 species
GACCAGGUGGACAUUUCCAAUGGUUUGGAUUGGUCGCUAGACCACAAAAUCUUCUAUUACAUUGACAGCCUGUCCUACUCCGUGGAUGCCUUUGACUAUGACCUGCAGACAGGACAGAUCUGUAUGUAUUUUUCAUUAUUUGUCUCAGUGCUGCCACUAUUGUUUUCAUAUGUUUGUGACUAGUAAGGCGCCUCUCCCUCGCCUCAUGUGAAGAAGUCUUCACUUAAAUGGAGAGCUUUCUGAUGCUACUAUUCUAAUAUAGUAACGACAGCACAGACUUGACUGUGCUGCCAAUCAAAUCAUGGUCCUCAACAUAUUUAAAUAUGGCAAGAGUUUGGCAUAAUAUGGAUAGAUCUGGGGAAGCUAAUAAAAAAUAAUUAAUACAAAUAUGGGUAGAUUCUCAAUCCUUUUCCUUGCCAUCAUCACCAGAAAGAGGUUCACUGCAAAAGAGAUCCUAUUCUACCAGGAGGUGCCUAAAGGCAGAUAAUACUUAAUGGAGUAUUGGCGCAAAAGAGCAGAAAACUUGAGGUUUUUGAUUGCUAUUUCUUGUUUGUACUUUAGUUAACCAUAGGCAAGUACUCAGAAGCUAAUUACCAACCUUUCAAAAUGGAAAAGCAAAAAAAAAAAGUAAUUGCACGUUGUCCAACUCCAUCAAUACGCUUGAAAGGAGCCAUAGUUGGAAACUGGGAGGGAAGGAAUUAUUUAGAAUCUAGAAGGGAGUCCUUGAAACUGUUUCAUGAAAGGUGCCAAACCUUUUAUGAAACAAAAGAGCAACAUUAAUAAUAAAAAUGACUUGGAAAAAAUAUCCCCAGAACUCUGCAUGCAGAUUUAAUCAGAGGCAAACUAUUCUGGUGCAGAUGUUUUGCUUUGAAAUAUGUAGUGCUCGGGAGGCUGAAGCAGGAGAAUCGCUUGAACCCGGGAGGC